GACGAACGCUGGCGGCGUGCUUAACACAUGCAAGUCGAACGGAAAGGCCCUGCUUUUGUGGGGUGCUCGAGUGGCGAACGGGUGAGUAACACGUGAGUAACCUGCCCUUGACUUUGGGAUAACUUCAGGAAACUGGGGCUAAUACCGGAUAGGAGCUCCUGCUGCAUGGUGGGGGUUGGAAAGUUUCGGCGGUUGGGGAUGGACUCGCGGCUUAUCAGCUUGUUGGUGGGGUAGUGGCUUACCAAGGCUUUGACGGGUAGCCGGCCUGAGAGGGUGACCGGCCACAUUGGGACUGAGAGACGGCCCAGACUCCUACGGGAGGCAGCAGUGGGGAAUAUUGCACAAUGGGCGGAAGCCUGAUGCAGCAAUGCCGCGUGCGGGAUGACGGCCUUCGGGGUGUAAACCGCUUUCGCCUGUGACGAAGCGUGAGUGACGGUAAUGGGUAAAGAAGCACCGGCUAACUACGUG
rnacentral:rRNA from 1 species